GACGAACGCUGGCGGCGUGCUUAACACAUGCAAGUCGAACGGAAAGGCCCUGCUUUUGUGGGGUGCUCGAGUGGCGAACGGGUGAGUAACACGUGAGUAACCUGCCCUUGACUUUGGGAUAACUUCAGGAAACUGGGGCUAAUACCGGAUAGGAGCUCCUGCUGCAUGGUGGGGGUUGGAAAGUUUCGGCGGUUGGGGAUGGACUCGCGGCUUAUCAGCUUGUUGGUGGGGUAGUGGCUUACCAAGGCUUUGACGGGUAGCCGGCCUGAGAGGGUGACCGGCGACGUUGGGACUGGGAUACGGCCCAGACUCCUACGGGAGGCAGCAGUGGGGAAUAUUGCACAAUGGGCGGAAGCCUGAUGCAGCAACGCCGCGUGCGGGAUGACGGCCUUCGGGUUGUAAACCGCUUUCGCCUGUGACGAAGCGUGAGUGACGGUAAUGGGUAAAGAAGCACCGGCUAACUACGUGC
rnacentral:rRNA from 1 species